rnacentral:rRNA from 1 species
CACGUAGUUAGCCGUGGCUUAUUCAAGGGGUACCGUCCUCUGCUCUUCCCCCUUAAAAGAAGUUUACAACCCGAAAGCCUUCUUCCUUCACGCGGCGUUGCUGGGUCAGACUUGCGUCCAUUGCCCAAUAUUCCCCACUGCUGCCUCCCGUAGGAGUCUGGGCCGUAUCUCAGUCCCAAUGUGGCCGGCCAACCUCUCAGUCCGGCUACUGAUCGUCGCCUUGGUAGGCCGUUACCCACCAACUAGCUAAUCAGACGCGAGGCCAUCUUUCGGCGAUAAAAUCUUUGGUAUCAAGACCAUGCGAUCCCGAUACGUCAUGCGGUAUUAGCAGUCGUUUCCAACUGUUCGUCCCCUCGAAAGGCAGGUUCCUCACGCGUUACUCACCAGUCCGCCACUAAGCAUUCCCUUCGUUGUCCGAAAACUCCUUCGAGGGGUGCUCCGUUCGACUUGCAUGUGUUAACGCACGCCGCCAGCGUUCGUCCUCGAGCCAGGACUCAACUCU